rnacentral:rRNA from 1 species
CUGCGGAAGGAUCAUUACUGAGUUAGGGUCUCAUCUCGAGCCCGAACCUCCAACCCUUUGUAUAAAACACUUUGUUGCUUUGGCAGGCCCGUCUGAAAAUCCUUUCACCGGGAUCGACGACCGCCGGGGGCGUUUAGUCACCUCUGGCCAGUGCUUGCCGAUAGCCUAUUCAAAAUUCUUUAUUAAAUCAUGUCUGAAAAAUUAUAACUAAAUAUAAUUAAAACUUUUAACAACGGAUCUCUUGGUUCUGGCAUCGAUGAAGAACGCAGCGAAAUGCGAUAAGUAAUGUGAAUUGCAGAAUUCAGUGAAUCAUCGAAUCUUUGAACGCACAUUGCGCCCUUUGGUAUUCCGAAGGGCAUGCCUGUUCGAGCGUCAUUAUCAACCCUCAAGCUCGGCUUGUUAUUGGGCUCUUAUCGUUAAAGAUAGGCCCGAAAGAUAAUGGCGGCGUCAUAAAUGACCCCAGAUGCAGCGAGCUUAUAGCAUACAUCGAAAGGUUUUUAUGGCCCGGCCUUAACGAGAAGCAAUUCUCAAUUUAUUUCAAGGUUGACCUCGGAUCAG